rnacentral:rRNA from 1 species
AGUGAACGCUGGCGGUAGGCCUAACACAUGCAAGUCGAACGGCAGCACAGUAAGAGCUUGCUCUUACGGGUGGCGAGUGGCGGACGGGUGAGGAAUACAUCGGAAUCUACUUUUUCGUGGGGGAUAACGUAGGUAAACUUACGCUAAUACCGCAUACGACCUACGGGUGAAAGCAGUGGAUCUUCGGACCUUGCGCGAUUGAAUGAGCCGAUGUCGGAUUAGCUAGUUGGCGGGGUAAAGGCCCACCAAGGCGACGAUCCGUAGCUGGUCUGAGAGGAUGAUCAGCCACACUGGAACUGAGACACGGUCCAGACUCCUACGGGAGGCAGCAGUGGGGAAUAUUGGACCAUGGGCGCAAGCCUGAUCCAGACAUACCGCGUGGGUGAAGAAGGCCUUCGGGUUGUAAAGCCCUUUUGUUGGGAAAGAAAAGCAGCAGGUUAAUACCGCGCUGUUCUGACGGUACCCAAAGAAUAAGCACCGGCUAACUUCGUG